GGUAUAGACCCGAAACCCGGUGAUCUAGCCAUGGGCAGGUUGAAGGUUGGGUAACACUAACUGGAGGACCGAACCGACUAAUGUUGAAAAAUUAGCGGAUGACUUGUGGCUGGGGGUGAAAGGCCAAUCAAACCGGGAGAUAGCUGGUUCUCCCCGAAAGCUAUUUAGGUAGCGCCUCGUGAAUUCAUCUCCGGGGGUAGAGCACUGUUUCGGCAAGGGGGUCAUCCCGACUUACCAACCCGAUGCAAACUGCGAAUACCGGAGAAUGUUAUCACGGGAGACACACGGCGGGUGCUAACGUCCGUCGUGAAGAGGGAAACAACCCAGACCGCCAGCUAAGGUCCCAAAGUCAUGGUUAAGUGGGAAACGAUGUGGGAAGGCCCAGACAGCCAGGAUGUUGGCUUAGAAGCAGCCAUCAUUUAAAGAAAGCGUAAUAGCUCACUGGUCGAGUCGGCCUGCGCGGAAGAUGUAACGGGGCUAAACCAUGCACCGAAGCUGCGGCAGCGACACUGUGUGUUGUUGGGUAGGGGAGCGUUCUGUAAGCCUGUGAAGGUGUGCUGUGAGGCAUGCUGGAGGUAUCAGAAGUGCGAAUGCUGACAUAAGUAACGAUAAAGCGGGUGAAAAGCCCGCUCGCCGGAAGACCAAGGGUUCCUGUCCAACGUUAAUCGGGGCAGGGUGAGUCGACCCCUAAGGCGAGGCCGAAAGGCGUAGUCGAUGGGAAACAGGUUAAUAUUCCUGUACUUGGUGUUACUGCGAAGGGGGGACGGAGAAGGCUAUGUUGGCCGGGCGACGGUUGUCCCGGUUUAAGCGUGUAGGCUGGUUUUCCAGGCAAAUCCGGAAAAUCAAGGCUGAGGCGUGAUGACGAGGCACUACGGUGCUGAAGCAACAAAUGCCCUGCUUCCAGGAAAAGCCUCUAAGCAUCAGGUAACAUCAAAUCGUACCCCAAACCGACACAGGUGGUCAGGUAGAGAAUACCAAGGCGCUUGAGAGAACUCGGGUGAAGGAACUAGGCAAAAUGGUGCCGUAACUUCGGGAGAAGGCACGCUGAUAUGUAGGUGAAGUCCCUCGCGGAUGGAGCUGAAAUCAGUCGAAGAUACCAGCUGGCUGCAACUGUUUAUUAAAAACACAGCACUGUGCAAACACGAAAGUGGACGUAUACGGUGUGACGCCUGCCCGGUGCCGGAAGGUUAAUUGAUGGGGUCAGCGCAAGCGAAGCUCUUGAUCGAAGCCCCGGUAAACGGCGGCCGUAACUAUAACGGUCCUAAGGUAGCGAAAUUCCUUGUCGGGUAAGUUCCGACCUGCACGAAUGGCGUAAUGAUGGCCAGGCUGUCUCCACCCGAGACUCAGUGAAAUUGAACUCGCUGUGAAGAUGCAGUGUACCCGCGGCAAGACGGAAAGACCCCGUGAACCUUUACUAUAGCUUGACACUGAACAUUGAGCCUUGAUGUGUAGGAUAGGUGGGAGGCUUUGAAGUGUGGACGCCAGUCUGCAUGGAGCCGACCUUGAAAUACCACCCUUUAAUGUUUGAUGUUCUAACGUGGACCCGUGAUCCGGGUUGCGGACAGUGUCUGGUGGGUAGUUUGACUGGGGCGGUCUCCUCCUAAAGAGUAACGGAGGAGCACGAAGGUUGGCUAAUCCUGGUCGGACAUCAGGAGGUUAGUGCAAUGGCAUAAGCCAGCUUGACUGCGAGCGUGACGGCGCGAGCAGGUGCGAAAGCAGGUCAUAGUGAUCCGGUGGUUCUGAAUGGAAGGGCCAUCGCUCAACGGAUAAAAGGUACUCCGGGGAUAACAGGCUGAUACCGCCCAAGAGUUCAUAUCGACGGCGGUGUUUGGCACCUCGAUGUCGGCUCAUCACAUCCUGGGGCUGAAGUAGGUCCCAAGGGUAUGGCUGUUCGCCAUUUAAAGUGGUACGCGAGCUGGGUUUAGAACGUCGUGAGACAGUUCGGUCCCUAUCUGCCGUGGGCGCUGGAGAACUGAGGGGGGCUGCUCCUAGUACGAGAGGACCGGAGUGGACGCAUCACUGGUGUUCGGGUUGUCAUGCCAAUGGCACUGCCCGGUAGCUAAAUGCGGAAGAGAUAAGUGCUGAAAGCAUCUAAGCACGAAACUUGCCCCGAGAUGAGUUCUCCCUGACCCUUUAAGGGUCCUGAAGGAACGUUGAAGACGACGACGUUGAUAGGCCGGGUGUGUAAGCGCAGCGAUGCGUUGAGCUAACCGGUACUAAUGAACCGUGAGGCUUAACCUU
rnacentral:rRNA from 1 species